CCUACGGGAGGCAGCAGUAGGGAAUCUUCCACAAUGGGCGAAAGCCUGAUGGAGCAACGCCGCGUGGGUGAAGAAGGUCUUCGGAUCGUAAAACCCUGUUGUUAGAGAAGAAAGUGCGUGAGAGUAACUGUUCACGUUUCGACGGUAUCUAACCAGAAAGCCACGGCUAACUACGUGCCAGCAGCCGCGGUAAUACGUAGGUGGCAAGCGUUAUCCGGAUUUAUUGGGCGUAAAGGGAACGCAGGCGGUCUUUUAAGUCUGAUGUGAAAGCCUUCGGCUUAACCGGAGUAGUGCAUUGGAAACUGGGGGACUUGAGGGCAGAAGAGGAGAGUGGAACUCGAUGUGUAGCGGUGAAAGGCGUAGAUAUAUGGAAGAAAACCAGUGGCGAAAGCGGCUCUCUGGUCUGUAACUGACGCUGAGGUUCGAAAGCGUGGGUAGCAAACAGGAUUAGAUACCCUAGUAGUC
rnacentral:rRNA from 1 species